rnacentral:rRNA from 2 species
GGACUACUCGGGUUUCUAAUCCUGUUUGCUCCCCACGCUUUCGUGCCUGAGCGUCAAUCUCAGCCCAGGGGGCUGCCUUCGCCAUCGGUGUUCCUCCACAUCUCUACGCAUUUCACUGCUACACGUGGAAUUCCACCCCCCUCUGCCAGAUUCUAGUCCGCCAGUUUCAACCGCAAUUCCCAAGUUAAGCUCGGGGCUUUCACAGCUGACUUAACGAACCGCCUGCGCACGCUUUACGCCCAGUAAUUCCGAUUAACGCUCGCACCCUACGUAUUACCGCGGCGGCUGGCAC